rnacentral:rRNA from 1 species
AGUGAACGCUGGCGGUAGACCUAACACAUGCAAGUCGAACGGCAGCACAGUAAGAGCUUGCUCUUACGGGUGGCGAGUGGCGGACGGGUGAGGAAUACAUCGGAAUCUACUUUUUCGUGGGGGAUAACGUAGGGAAACUUACGCUAAUACCGCAUACGACCUACGGGUGAAAGCAGGGGAUCUUCGGACCUUGCGCGAUUGAAUGAGCCGAUGUCGGAUUAGCGAGUUGGCGGGGUAAAGGCCCACCAAGGCGACGAUCCGUAGCUGGUCUGAGAGGAUGAUCGGCCACACUGGAACUGAGACACGGUCCAGACUCCUACGGGAGGCAGCAGUGCGGAAUAUUGGACAAUGGGCGCAAGCCUGAUCCAGCCAUACCGCGUGGGUGAAGAAGGCCUUCGGGUUGUAAAGCCCUUUUGUUGGGAAAGAAAAGCAGCAGGUUAAUACCCCGCUGUUCUGACGGUACCCAAAGAAUAAGCACCGGCUAACUUCGUG